GCUGAAACACCGGUUCUCGUUCGAUCACCAAAGUUAAGCAACGUCGUGCCUGAGUACUUGGGUGACCGCUUGGGAAUAGCAUGUGCUGUAAG